AGAGUUUGUAGUCCUGGCGUCAGGACGAACGCUGGCGGCGUGCUUAACACAUGCAAGUCGAACGGAGCACCCCUGAAGGAGUUUUCGGACAACGGAAGGGAAUGCUAGUGGCGGACUGGUGAGUAACGCGUGAGGAACCUGCCUUCCAGAGGGGGACAACAGUUGGAAACGACUGCUAAUACCGCAUGAUACGUUGGAGCCGCAUGACUCCGACGUCAAAGAUUUAUCGCUGGAAGAUGGCCUCGCGUCUGAUUAGCUAGUUGGUGAGGUAACGGCCCACCAAGGCGACGAUCAGUAGCCGGACUGAGAGGUUGGCCGGCCACAUUGGGACUGAGAUACGGCCCAGACUCCUACGGGAGGCAGCAGUGGGGGAAUAUUGGGCAAUGGACGCAAGUCUGACCCAGCAACGCCGCGUGAAGGAAGAAGGCUUUUCGGGUUGUAAACUUCUUUUAAGGGGGAAGAGCAGAAGACGGUACCCCUUGAAUAAGCCACGGCUAACUACGUG
rnacentral:rRNA from 1 species